GUUAAAAAGCUCGUAGUCGGAUUUCAGUAUUAGGCCCUUCUUCCAAUACGGUUGCUAGUGGUCUUUACUUCCUUAACCGAAUCUUUCAUCUCAUUAAUUUGGGGUGUUUGGGGCCUGUUUCUUUUACUUUGAGAAAAUUAGAGUGUUCAAAGCGGGUUUUCGCCUGGAUAUUACUCUUGGAAUAAUAAUAUAGGACUUUGGUUCUUUUUUGUUGGUGACUUAGAACCGAAGUAAUGAUUGAUAGGGACAGUUGGGGUCAUUCGUACUAUGAAGCGAGAGGUGAAAUUCAUGGACCUUUGUAUGACGAACUACUGCGAAAGCAUUUGACUAGGAUGUUCCCGUUGAUCAAGAACGAAAGUUGGGGGAUCGAAGACGAUCAGAUACCGUCGUAGUCUCAACCAUAAACUAUGCCAGCUAGGGAUUGGAGGAAGAUCAUUUUACGUCUCCUUCAGCACCUUAUGAGAAAUCAAAGCAUUUGGGUUCCGGGGGGAGUAUGGUCGCAAGGCUGAAACUUAAAGGAAUUGACGGGAGGGCACCACCAGGAGUGGAGCCUGCGGCUUAAUUUGAUUCAACACGGGAAAACUUACCAGGUCCGGACAUGGGAAGGAUUGACAGAUUGAAAGCUCUUUCU
rnacentral:rRNA from 1 species